GUGUCCCCAAAAGUUCUCUGCAAGCACUUCACAAGGCAUCGUCAUUGUGAGAGCUUUUUGUGAAGUGUUUGGGGGAACUUUUGGUGUCAC
rnacentral:pre_miRNA from 2 species